rnacentral:rRNA from 1 species
GUAGGUAAUGGGAGGAUGGUGAGAUUUUGGGAAGAUACCUGGCAUGGAAAUGCUCCUUUAGCUACCCAAUGCUGGGAUUUGUAUUACUUAGUUCAUGAGAAGAAUAAAACUAUUGUUGAACUAUGGGAUGGGACUGAACUUAAAUAUACAUUUAGGAGAGUUUUCCCUGAUGAUUUGAUGAUCCAACGGUUGGAUCUGGUUAAUAUUCUUAGGCUCAAUUUAGUGAUGAUGAUGACUCUCUGA